UUCUGCCCUGGAACUCGUGCAGGUACGUAGUAGCUGCUACUGCCAGAACGGCAACACCAAGCAAGAGAUGGUCCAUGCUUUUCUGACGUUCUCAGAAUAGUGGCUAGCUUCAAACCUGACAAGCGCUGCUUGAAGCCGGAACACUAGAGAAUGUUGCUGAGAGCAGAAACGGCCACGCGGGUCACGACUAUGCGUGGGAAAGUCUCAAGCUUCCCUCCUGCCAGCAACAAGAAGGCUUUGGAGUAGGCAUGAUGUUUUCACGUGUGCGUGCCGUUUCUCCAAGCACUGCAGGUUCCACCGUGUGUCAGAGGCUGCAAGUUUAACAUCCUCCUGCCUGAAAACAAAUAGGUCCUUUGCUGAAAAGAGGGUAAAAAAAGAGCUUUGAUCGUCUCAGCCAGGAGAAGAGGGUGGUGUUUUCACGCGGGCAACUGCUCGCCGGCCUACAUGGGGUUAAUUCAAGUCUGCUGCGAGCACGACUCCGCCCUUGGCACUGGCCUCCAGCAAGCCCUGUUCUCUUUGGGGUACAGGGGAACGGGAUGGUUUAGACUUUCCUGCUCAGUGUGUAAAAAAUGUAGCUAAAGCCACUAUUUUUGCUCUCCUUAAGCUGUUCAAUAAACCGGUUCCUCAUUUU
rnacentral:lncRNA from 1 species